AGAGUUUGAUCCUGGCUCAGGAUGAACGCUAGCUACAGGCUUAACACAUGCAAGUCGAGGGGCAGCAUGGUCUUAGCUUGCUAAGACUGAUGGCGACCGGCGCACGGGUGAGUAACACGUAUCCAACCUGCCGUCUACUCUUGGACAGCCUUCUGAAAGGAAGAUUAAUACAAGAUGGCAUCAUGAGUCCGCAUGUUCACAUGAUUAAAGGUAUUCCGGUAGACGAUGGGGAUGCGUUCCAUUAGAUAGUAGGCGGGGUAACGGCCCACCUAGUCUUCGAUGGAUAGGGGUUCUGAGAGGAAGGUCCCCCACAUUGGAACUGAGACACGGUCCAAACUCCUACGGGAGGCAGCAGUGAGGAAUAUUGGUCAAUGGGCGAGAGCCUGAACCAGCCAAGUAGCGUGAAGGAUGACUGCCCUAUGGGUUGUAAACUUCUUUUAUAAAGGAAUAAAGUCGGGUAUGCAUACCCGUUUGCAUGUACUUUAUGAAUAAGGAUCGGCUAACUCCGUGCCAGCAGCCGCGGUAAUACGGAGGAUCCGAGUGUUAUCCGGAUUUAUUGGGUUUAAAGGGAGCGUAGAUGGAUGUUUAAGUCAGUUGUGAAAGUUUGCGGCUCAACCGUAAAAUUGCAGUUGAUACUGGAUAUCUUGAGUGCAGUUGAGGCAGGCGGAAUUCGUGGUGUAGCGGUGAAAUGCUUAGAUAUCACGAAGAACUCCGAUUGCGAAGGCAGCCUGCUAAGCUGCAACUGACAUUGAGGCUCGAAAGUGUGGGUAUCAAACAGGAUUAGAUACCCUGGUAGUCCACACGGUAAACGAUGAAUACUCGCUGUUUGCGAUAUACAGCAAGCGGCCAAGCGAAAGCGUUAAGUAUUCCACCUGGGGAGUACGCCGGCAACGGUGAAACUCAAAGGAAUUGACGGGGGCCCGCACAAGCGGAGGAACAUGUGGUUUAAUUCGAUGAUACGCGAGGAACCUUACCCGGGCUUAAAUUGCAGAUGAAUUACGGUGAAAGCCGUAAGCCGCAAGGCAUCUGUGAAGGUGCUGCAUGGUUGUCGUCAGCUCGUGCCGUGAGGUGUCGGCUUAAGUGCCAUAACGAGCGCAACCCUUGUUGUCAGUUACUAACAGGUUCCGCUGAGGACUCUGACAAGACUGCCAUCGUAAGAUGUGAGGAAGGUGGGGAUGACGUCAAAUCAGCACGGCCCUUACGUCCGGGGCUACACACGUGUUACAAUGGGGGGUACAGAGGGCCGCUACCACGCGAGUGGAUGCCAAUCCCAAAAACCUCUCUCAGUUCGGACUGGAGUCUGCAACCCGACUCCACGAAGCUGGAUUCGCUAGUAAUCGCGCAUCAGCCACGGCGCGGUGAAUACGUUCCCGGGCCUUGUACACACCGCCCGUCAAGCCAUGGGAGCCGGGGGUACCUGAAGUGCGUAACCGCGAGGAGCGCCCUAGGGUAAAACUGGUGACUGGGGCUAAGUCGUAACAAGGUAGCCGUACCGGAAGGUGCGGCUG
rnacentral:rRNA from 1 species